rnacentral:rRNA from 1 species
URARUACUUAGCAGAGAUGCUUUGGUGCCUUCGGGAACUCUGAGACAGGUGCUGCAUGGCUGUCGUCAGCUCGUGUUGUGAAAUGUUGGGUUAAGUCCCGCAACGAGCGCAACCCUUAUCCUUUGUUGCCAGCGAUUCGGYCGGGAACUCAAAGGAGACUGCCAGUGAUAAACUGGARGAAGGUGGGGAUGACGUCAAGUCAUCAUGGCCCUUACGARUAGGGCUACACACGUGCUACAAUGGCAUAUACAAAGAGAAGCGACCUCGCGAGAGCAAGCGGAMCUCAUAAAGUAUGUCGUARUCCGGAUUGGAGUCUGCAACUCGACUCCAUGAAGUCGGAAUCGCUAGUAAUCGUGGAUCAGAAUGCCACGGUGAAUACGUUCCCGGGCCUUGUACACACCGAA